GACGAACGCUGGCGGCGUGCUUAACACAUGCAAGUCGAACGGAAAGGCCCUGCUUUUGUGGGGUGCUCGAGUGGCGAACGGGUGAGUAACACGUGAGUAACCUGCCCUUGACUUUGGGAUAACUUCAGGAAACUGGGGCUAAUACCGGAUAGGAGCUCCCGCUGCAUGGUGGGGGUUGGAAAGUUUCGGCGGUUGGGGAUGGACUCGCGGCUUAUCAGCUUGUUGGUGGGGUAGUGGCUUACCAAGGCUUUGACGGGUAGCCGGCCUGAGAGGGUGACCGGCCACAUUGGGACUGAGAUACGGCCCAGACUCCUACGGGAGGCAGCAGUGGGGAAUAUUGCACAAUGGGCGGAAGCCUGAUGCAGCAACGCCGCGUGCGGGAUGACGGCCUUCGGGUUGUAAACCGCUUUCGCCUGUGACGAAGCGUGAGUGACGGUAAUGGGUAAAGAAGCACCGGCUAACUAUGUG
rnacentral:rRNA from 1 species